rnacentral:rRNA from 1 species
AUUGAACGCUGGCGGCAGGCUUAACACAUGCAAGUCGAACGAGUGGCGGACGGGUGAGAAAUGCUUGGGAAUCUAGCUUAUGGAGGGGGAUAACUCCGGGAAACUGUAGCUAAUACCGCGUACCAUAGGAUGAGCUCAAGUGGGUUUAGGUAGUUGGUGAGGUAAAGGCUCACCAAGCCGACGAUCUCUAGCUGGUCUGAGAGGAUGACCAGCCACACUGGGACUGAGACACGGCCCAGACUCCUACGGGAGGCAGAAGUGGGGAAUAUGGCGCAAUGGGGGCAACCUGACGCAGCCAUGCCGCGUGAAUGAAGAAGGCCUUCGGGUUGUAAAGUUCUUUCGGUAGCGAGGCGUUAACUACAGAAGAAGCACCGGCUAACUCCGUGCCAGCAGCCGCGGUAAUUC